UUUUGUAAUGCCGUUCAGUACGAAAAUCGUUCCCGUUCGGAAAGCAUCUGAGUAAAUUAACGUGACUUGUGUAAUCAAAAGCUGAUGUUACCCCUCAGGACAAACUUGAAAUCCGAAUUGGCAUGACUGAAGUUUUCAGGACCUCAAAUCCAAAUUAUUAGUGACUUUUGUAAUCAAAAGCUGAUGUCUUCAAUUAGGAGUUACCCCUCAGGAUCAACUUGAAGUCCCAAUUGGCAUGGCUGGAGUUUUGAAGUCCUCAAAUCUUGCUUUGAUAAUUACAGCACUGCUGGCUCAUUGGUACAUUUCAUAAGUACCUUAUGAAAUGUUCCAAUGGUCGGGCAGAGCUAAUACUUGUCCAUGUUUUGGAAUAGAAGUAAUCCUAAGAAGAGCAAAUCUGCCAGUUACCAUUCUCACUAUGUAACAAUUGGAACAAGAAUUUUAAGCAAGCCGAUUACUUAAUUCAAUUAAGAAAUAUUCAAUAAAUGUUUUGACAA